AUGCUGAAUGUAACUGCAUACAUAUCCAACAUUCUCCUUCUAUUUCCUCUUUCAGAGUUCCUCUUUGUGACAAUGACUAGUGCACAUUAUGAGGGUCCUCUUUCUAGUAAAAUAAUUAACUCUGUAGGAAUUUCAGGAACUGACAUACCAUGUCCAGUAACGCCUCCUUUGGAGGUAAGAGCUCCUGGUUUAAUUCCAUUUUUUCAUAAAUUUACAAUCAUCCCUGGAGCUCCACUAAAUUUAUUAGGGCGAGAUUUAAUGCACAAAUUGAACAUGGACAUUAAAUCUCGCCCUAAUAAAUUUAGUGGAGCUCCAGGGAUGAUUGUAAAUUUAUGAAAAAAUGGAAUUAAACCAGGAGCUCUUACCUCCAAAGGAGGCGUUACUGGACAUGGUAUGUCAGUUCCUGAAAUUCCUACAGAGUUAAUUAUUUGACUAGAAAGAGGACCCUCAUAAUGUGCACUAGUCAUUGACGUUGCAUCAGCUCCAGAAUCUAAGAGGAACGUCUGUGGUUGACCAUGCACUAAUAAUGUAAUGUAUGGCAAAUCUUUAUUGUUAUUUGUAAAAGUGAGGGUCGUCAUAGAUACAUUGGAACUGACUGCACUCUGUAGGCAUCCCUAUUGUUCUUCAUGCUGUGCAUGAUUUUGCCAUGUAGUGGGGUAAGUGGAGUUUACUGUGCCUGUGCCUCUCUGCUGUGGCUGUUCUAUUCUAGACUUCCACUGCACUGGGUUUCUCCGAGGCUGACUUCUCCCUUUUUUGCAGUCUCGUUGGACAUGACCUUCCUUCCCGCAGCGAUAACAAACCAUUCUAGACCUUCUUGGUUGGAUUGAUCUAGGUUUCAUUUCUGCUUUUAGGUCAAGCUCAACUCUCUGUGGCCUUUGCCCAGUGAACAUGGCUGUUUCAGUUUUAACCACAAACCCUCCAGAAAUGUCUAGUUCCCUAACUCGCUUCCCUAAUGCUUCUAUGCUCAUCUCAAGUAAAUUUAUGGUUGUGAUUCUAAUCAGUUGUGCUUGCUUUCCAUGCAUAUUAUUCAGGAAAGUAUUAAUGAAUAAUGCCUUUAGGGCAUCAUUGAUUGGGAGUUUAGACUCCUCAAUCCAUGCCUUUUUGAAUCUCAGAUAGAAAUCUGAAGCAGUUUCUUUGGGUUUCUGCUUUGUAUUUGCAGCAAUUGACAAGUCUUGCCUAUUUCCUAAACGCAUGUCUAAAAAAGCUCUUAGCUCUUUAAAGAAUGCAACAUGAUUUUCCUGCUUUUCCCGGAAAAAUACAUGAGGCGAUGCGGCCGUAGCAGCGCCAGAUAUCUCAUCAUUUUCAAAUUUCAGUGAUUGACACGCAGUGAUCAGCAUUUCUUCAGUGACAUCACCUUCUAAGGUUCUUGCCAGAACCGCUCUGUAAUCUGCACCUGUAAAAAUGAGCAUAUUUUGUAUGUGAUUGCAGAAUAGUCACAAAUUUGCUAGGGUUCCAUAUCUGUCAUUUUUACUGGUUUCACCCCUAUUGCAUUUCCUGAUCUCAGCCAUACCAUAGCACCCUGAGUUUUAGUAGGUUCCUGUUUUUCUUUGGGUGUGACCAAUUUUGUAACAACAGGACUAUUUUGUGGUGGCGGCGGUGCUGAGGGAGAAUGAGACAUGGAGUAGGGUGGUGGUGUAUCUUUUGCAAGUCUGCUUUGUUUAGCCACAAAAGCAACUACCUUUUUCUUUUCUGGCCCUUGAUCCCAGACUUUUUUAAGAUCCUUCCAAAUAUUAUAACUCUUAGUCAUAUACUUAUAGUCCCAAUUGGGAUCUCCCCACCCUUCAAAAACUAAACUUUUAGCCAACUCCAUGCCAUCAUCUGUGAAUGAACCCUCUCUUGGAUAUGGCACUUCAAUUUGCGGUCUCAUUCGCUCUGACCAGCCUGCCAUAUCACUCACAAAAGGUUCCGUAUAAACCCUUGAUUGUUCUGAACAUAAACUCUACUGGAGUUUCUCCAGGUAAUGGUCUUGAAACUGAACCCCCCAUCUUCCACUCAACAAUAGCAGCAACACAAAAUAGCCACAACACAAAAUAGCAAUGCGGCAGUGAUAAGCAGCAAGCUGUAGUGUAAAAAAUCUCCUUUACUCUUUUGCCCAACCUCAACUGUGAUUCAUGUAUCGUAUUGUGACCUUUGGGUGAUAUUCCUAUUGAUUGACUCACACAAAGCAAAGUUUUGCCCUGAUCGUCACUAAAUCACCUUCUUUUAUUUAGGUUUUUCCUAAGUUUUGAGCUCUCGCCAAACCUAAGUUCGGGUCGCCCACUAAAACCUUUUUUCUUUUAGGUCACAAUAUAUCAACAUAGAAUAACAAUUGAUAAUUGAAUUUGUUCCACAAUAUGGAAUAUGAUUAAAUUUCAAUCCCCAAAAUUAAAGAAAUAUUUUCUCCGCGAAAGUUAAAUACGUCACCGUGAUCAAAAAUACAGUGUGAUCAGUACUGCAUAUACAAUCACUCUCCACGCUAAUAGUCCACAGGCAUAUAUAGUAUUGCUUUUAGCAAUAAUCUGCAAGUGACUACUGUUGCCAGCCGUAGUGUAACAACCAAUAGAAAAAUUAAUUUCCACUAGCAAAUAGUGAUUGCAACUCUCUCCCGUCUCUUUACGGGGAGCUACCCGGGGACAAUUUUUACAUUAAUCCCCCAAGGAUCCUACAGGGGUAAGCGCUAUAUUUCCUUCAAGAAAUAUACAAAACACUUACCCCCUUCCCGUAGGUCCUCCUGAUUCACCGGUGCGUCUUCCCCACUCGAUCUCGGGACUUUCUUACCGGUUCUCUAGGAGAUCCCCCCUUUCGCGGACGAGCCCCCAAACUGUAAGAAUAAAUCGUAUAUUCUUGCCUUCGAGAUCGCAAUUAUAAUUUCUGGUUCAGGUUAGGCUACUGAGCAGAGGAGACCAGGUACCCGGGACCAAAGAAUGAGACACACAAAGUGCAGUUCAUUCUAAGCUCAAUUUUAUUAUGCCCAGUGGGUCACAUAUAUACUACAGUUUGAGGAAGUGAAACGAACAACAGUCUGGACAAAACUUGCCAGACCAGCAUAACAAAUUCCUAUUACAUCAUGAUCAGAUCAAAAUGUCAUGGUCAGCAAUUUGGCACUUCUCUUUAGAGCACAAUGGCCCAAUGUCCCUAGACACAAAAUACAGGAUACAAGAUGUUCACUCAGAAUCUCACACUACUGUAGCGUAUCAGACCCGAACCAGACAAAUUAAAGAUUCGAUCAGGACCAUGGUUGAAACAUGAGGAGCAGAAUUCCUCAGAAAGGCAACAGGAUGUUGUAAAUCAACUCCUAGCACCACAGUCUGAAGCAAAAUAACCAACCAGCUCUUUCACAGAACAGCUUUCAAAAUUAACACCAUUAGAACAAUUAUUGACAAUUUCAAUUCAGAGAAAAGAUUGUUAAAUUUGGGGAGAGGGAUCAAGAUUGCUGGUCAAAGAGAUGCACAGCCUGACCAUCACUUGUAAACUCAUGAGAGUAAACAAGAUCGUUGGAUUGACUUCCCCCACCUAGCAGAACCAGACUGAAAUUCCUAAGGGGACCUUUUAACCUCUGGUUUCCACAGAACAUCCUUAUGUCAAAGAAAAGCAGAGAAACUGUCUUGUACAGAUGAACACAAAAAGACUUCUAAAGGAAUAUCAGUCCAUUGCUUAACUCCAUAUCAUUUAUGAAACCCACACAUUUGACUAUCAUGUUUCUAAUCACUUAUUGUGUAUGUCUUUUUAAUAACUACUGAAUAGCUUAAGUAUUCAUAUUCAUGUUUAGUAUGUGUGUGUUCGAAUCUUC
rnacentral:lncRNA from 1 species